CGACAUUAGACUAAAUAUCAGCUGGUAAUUCUGGGGUCGUUCACCCCCAGGUUAUCAGUUGGUAUAAAGUUGUGUGUCG
rnacentral:pre_miRNA from 1 species